ensembl:lncRNA
GCUAAAGUAGAAAUACUCAAAUUAACAGUGGUUGAGCCAACCUCUACCACCUCCCAGACAGUAGAAAUCAGAAAAUCUUCACGAGAGAGAAAGUUGACCCCAAAAAUGCUAGAACUGAAGCAGCAAGAGGCUCAUCAGAAGGAGAGUAAAUUUAUCAAGCUCUAUGAAAAAUGGAAAGAGCAGGUUAAAGCUGCACGCAUCAAACUUAAGGAUGAAUGUUCUGAUGAAGACUUAGGUGACUUGAUGGAUGCUGUUGAACAGCUGGAAACACAAGUGAAAGAUGUGUAUGAAUACAUACGUGUCAGGCUGGCUGCUGCCAGGCCUAGAUAGUGCUCUCUCCCUCUUUUCUCCACCUCUUUUUCCUUUUUAGGUUUGUCAGCAGUGCAGUUGCAGCGGCAGGUGUCUCUCAUUGUCAAUCAUCAUCAGCUGGUGCAGGAGCAGGUGGAGCAGUUGCCAAUCAAGCUCCACUCUCGCCACAAUAUAAUCAGACGCCACUCACCUCUCAGCGCCGGAUCGUGACACAGCCAUCCCAGUUCCACCUGCUCCUGCUGCAAUUCUUCCUGGUUCCUCGUCACCUCCAGUUUCCAACUCCGUUCAAGUGUUCUGGAAAUACUCACCUGUGUCGUCCUGCUCCUUCCUGGUGUCCCUCCACGUUCACCUGCCGCUGCAACUCACCACCCGUCAUCCGGACUCAAGAACCACUCGUCAAAAUCCCUCAGCCACUUACAGUCAUGAGCCCAGUCCGAGCAUCUUGUUUUGUAGUCGUGAGUCAGUCCUAGAAAACUGUUUUUCUGAUUGUUAUCUGAAUAGCAGCUCUUGAAUUUUGAUAUCGGGUCAAGUAAUUAUCUUGAGUCUUGAAUCUAGUAAGUGUAGAGUCCUGAUUUAAUUCCUAGCUUCAAGUUAGUUCUUUGUGAACUGAAGAUUUUGAAUUUGGUUCAGUAAAGUAAAACACUUUUUGUAUUUUCAUACUUUAGAUUGGUAAGCUCUCUUGCCUGGGUUAUACCCAACGUGAGUCAGCUUUUUUUUUGAGUUUUUGUAUUCAGCUGUCCCUGCCUCAAGUAGUUGCCAGGAGCUUUUCAGAGUGCUUUUCGUUCCUUUUCGGUUUUGUAGCAUCUAAGUAGAAUACUUAAGUUUUUGUCCUUAAUCACCUUUUUGAGACUUUUUAAAUAAACUUCUUUUUUGCGUUAUAACUAGCCUGUUCAUUUCCUGCGAAAUCGUAACAGCACGAUCCGGCCAUGAUGAGCUCAGCAGGAAAUGUUACAGCUGCAGACGGAGCUUCCGGAGUUUCACUCCAGGAGGCUUUGACCAGCUUAAACACGGCUCUAGUUCAACAUGAUGAGACGCUGCGUUCCC